CAGAGGACACAGAGAGCCAGAAGCCAGAGAGGAGAGAGGCGCCGCAUAGAAGGCGAACAAAAGCUUCAGGCAUGGCUUUGGGCGCUGCGGGAGUGGCGGCGCUGCUCUUCGCCACCGUUUUCACGGGCGUCACCGGCGACACCAACUCCGACGAUGUGACUGCCCUCAGCACGUUCUACACGGCCUUGAACUCGCCGUCGCAGCUGACAAACUGGGUGCCCCAGAACGGUGACCCUUGUGGCCAGUCUUGGCUCGGGGUUACUUGUUCUGGUUCAAGAGUGAUAACAAUAAAAGUACCUGGCAUGGGGCUAAAUGGGACCCUGGGAUACAACAUGAAUCUCCUCACUGAACUAUCUGAGCUUGAUGCGAGCAACAAUAAUCUUGGAGGAAGUGAUAUCCCUUAUAAUCUCCCACCAAAUCUUGAGAGACUAAAUCUAGAGAAAAACAACUUCAUUGGGACUUUACCUUACUCCAUUUCCAAAAUGGCUACACUUAAUUAUUUAAAUCUUGGUCAUAAUCAGCUGUCAGACAUCAAUGUUGUCUUCAACCAACUGACCAACUUAACAACAUUGGACUUCUCAUAUAACUCGUUUUCUGGCACUCUUCCUGAAAGCUUCAGCAACAUGACAAGUUUAAGCACACUUUAUUUGCAGAACAAUCAAUUUACUGGCACGAUAGACGUUCUCACUGAUCUCCCUCUGACGGACCUAAAUGUUGCAAAUAACCAAUUCAGUGGUUCAAUUCCUGAUAAGAUGAAGAGCAUAAGCAAUCUCCAGACAAGUGGCAACUCCUUUAGCAACAGUCCUGCACCAGCUGCAACAGCACCUCCACCAGACACUCGACCUUCGCGACCAUCUCCUUCUGGAAGUCCAAGUCAGAGUAACCAUAACAGUAGUCCAUCACGAGGAAGGGAUACCGGUAAUGGUGGCAGUGGUGGCAAAAGCUCCAAAGUAACCGGUGCUGCAGUUGCAGGGAUUGUGAUAUCACUGGUGGCUGUAGGUGCAUUAGUUGGCUUCUUUCUGAUCAAGAGGAAAUCUAUGAGGCAUCAACAGGGAGGUGAUCCUGAAAAGAAUGAGCAUCUCAGCCCUCUUGCAUCCGGGAAAAUUAAACAACUGAGGCCCAUCCGCUCUAUCUUGCUCUCACCAACUGGAAAAGAACUGAAGAAGAAUGUAUCAAUGAACUUGAAACCACCGUCGAAAAUCGAGCUGCACAAGUCCUUCAACGAAAAUGAUCCCACUAACAAGCCUGUUGCGAAGAAAGUAAACCUCUCUUCCAUCAGGGCAACUGCAUACACGGUGGCAGACCUGCAGGUAGCAACGGAGAGCUUCAGUGCUGACAAUCUGGUCGGCGAAGGCUCUUUUGGCCGUGUUUACAGAGCACAGUUGUCUGAUCAGAAGGUUCUGGCUGUGAAGAAAAUCAAUUUCUCUGCCAUCCCAGACCACCCAUCUGAUUUCUUCGUUAAGCUGGUUGUCAACAUUGCAAAGCUAAAUCAUCCAAACCUCUCAGAGCUAGAUGGCUACUGCUCAGAGCAUGGACAGUGCUUGCUGGCAUAUGAAUUUUACAAGAAUGGAUCUCUUCAUGACCUUCUUCACCUGUCAGAUGGCAACAGCAGAUCGUUGUCUUGGAAUAGCCGUGUCAAGAUUGCGCUAGGAUCAGCGAGGGCAUUAGAGUAUCUACAUGAAACUUGUUCACCAUCUAUCAUCCACAAGAAUUUCAAAUCAUCUAACAUACUGUUGGACGAUGAGCUUAACCCCCACAUUUCAGAUUUUGGGUUUGCAGACCUAAUUCCCAAUCAGGAACUCCAGGAAUCAGAUGACAACUCGGGAUACAGAGCUCCUGAGGUGACCAUGUCCGGUCAGUACUCUCAAAAGAGCGAUGUUUACAGCUUUGGAGUAGUCAUGCUUGAGCUCCUGACUGGUCGUAAAGCAUUUGACAGCUCUCAACCAAGGUCCCAGCAAUCAUUAGUCCGGUGGGCUACUCUGCAGCUGCACGACAUCGACUUGCUAGAUCAGAUGGUUGAUCCAGCACUGGAGGGGCUGUACCCUGCGAAAUCACUCUCUCGGUUUGCAGACGCAAUCGCUCUCUGUGUCCAGCCUGAGCCAGAAUUCAGGCCACCAAUGUCGGAGGUCGUCCAGUCUCUGGUCCGUCUUGUGCAACGAUCAAGCAUGGGGGCGGGGCUAGCUUAGUAGCGAGAGGAAUUCUUGCCGGUUCGAUGACUCUGGUGACCACACAUUCUAGGGGAAAAUAAUGAUGUAUAUUUCCUACAGUCUGAUGAGGAACCAUAGAAGACUCGGAAGUCAAAUACAUUGCAGCUUGGCAAUGCUGUGACGGUGUGCCCUGUGCUGACUGAGAAACCAGUGUCAGUGCUGCUGCAUCUGAAUCAGGGGUGAAAAGAAAGUCAGUGCUGCUGCAAUGGCCGACGAGGUGCUCGGGGGCCGUCGCGUUGAUCUUCUCCCUGUUCAGCGCGAACCAGUAGCCUCCCUUGGUGUCU